rnacentral:rRNA from 1 species
UACAGAGGGGGCAAGCGUUGUUCGGAAUUACUGGGCGUAAAGGGCGCGUAGGCGGCCUGUUAAGUCGGACGUGAAAUCCCUCGGCUCAACCGGGGAACUGCGUCUGAUACUGGCGGGCUUGAAUUCGGGAGAGGGAUGUGGAAUUCCAGGUGUAGCGGUGAAAUGCGUAGAUAUCUGGAGGAACACCGGUGGCGAAGGCGGCAUCCUGGACCAAUACUGACGAUCAGGUGCGGAAAGCGUGGGGAGCAAACAGG